rnacentral:rRNA from 1 species
CAGUCUGCGUGGAGCCGACCUUGAAAUACCACCCUUUAAUGUUUGAUGUUCUAACGUGGACCCGUGAUCCGGGUUGCGGACAGUGUCUGGUGGGUAGUUUGACUGGGGCGGUCUCCUCCUAAAGAGUAACGGAGGAGCACGAAGGUUGGCUAAUCCUGGUCGGACAUCAGGAGGUUAGUGCAAUGGCAUAAGCCAGCUUGACUGCGAGCGUGACGGCGCGAGCAGGUGCGAAAGCAGGUCAUAGUGAUCCGGUGGUUCUGAAUGGAAGGGCCAUCGCUCAACGGAUAAAAGGUACUCCGGGGAUAACAGGCUGAUACCGCCCAAGAGUUCAUAUCGACGGCGGUGUUUGGCACCUCGAUGUCGGCUCAUCACAUCCUGGGGCUGAAGUAGGUCCCAAGGGUAUGGCUGUUCGCCAUUUAAAGUGGUACGCGAGCUGGGUUUAGAACGUCGUGAGACAGUUCGGUCCCUAUCUGCCGUGGGCGCUGGAGAACUGAGGGGGGCUGCUCCUAGUACGAGAGGACCGGAGUGGACGCAUCACUGGUGUUCGGGUUGUCAUGCCAAUGGCACUGCCCGGUAGCUAAAUGCGGAAGAGAUAAGUGCUGAAAGCAUCUAAGCACGAAACUUGCCCCGAG